rnacentral:rRNA from 1 species
AUGAACGCUGGCGGCGUGCCUAAUACAUGCCAGUCGCGCGAACAGACGAGGAGCUUGCUCCUCUGACGUUAGCGGCGGACGGGUGAGUAACCCGUGGAUAACCUACCUAUAAGACUGGGAUAACUUCGGGAAACCGGAGCUAAUACCGGAUAAUAUAUUGAACCGCAUGGUUCAAUAGUGAAAGACGGUUUUGCUGUCACUUAUAGAUGGAUCCGCGCCGCAUUAGCUAGUUGGUAAGGUAACGGCUUACCAAGGCAACGAUGCGUAGCCGACCUGAGAGGGUGAUCGGCCACACUGGAACUGAGACACGGUCCAGACUCCUACGGGAGGCAGCAGUAGGGAAUCUUCCGCAAAGGGCGAAAGCCUGACGGAGCAACGCCGCGUGAGUGAUGAAGGUCUUCGGAUCGUAAAACUCUGUUAUUAGGGAAGAACAAAUGUGUAAGUAACUAUGCACGUCUUGACGGUACCUAAUCAGAAAGCCACGGCUAACUACGUG